rfam:Triticum aestivum genome assembly, contig: Triticum_aestivum_CS42_TGACv1_scaffold_019388_1AS
AGUAUACUUCCUCCGUCCGGAAAAUCUUGUCACAAUCUUGUUCCUCAAAUGGAUGUAUCUAACACUAACUUAAUGCUAGAUACAUAUACAUUCAUUUAAGGGACAAGUUUCUUCAGACGGAGAGAGUAUUUG